GACGAACGCUGGCGGCGUGCUUAACACAUGCAAGUCGAACGGAAAGGCCCCUUUGGGGGUACUCGCGUGGCGAACGGGUGAGUAACACGUGAGUAACCUGCCCUUGACUUCGGGAUAACUUCCUGAAACUGGGGCUAAUACCGGCUAGGAAUCCUUGCUGCAUGGUGGGGGUUGGAAAGCUUCUGCGGUUUUGGAUGGACUCGCGGCUUAUCAGCUUGUUGGUGGGGGAGUGGCUUACCAAGGCUUUGACGGGUAGCCGGCCGGAGAGGGCGACCGGCCACAUUGGGACUGGGAUACGGCCCAGACUCCUACGGGAGGCAGCAGUGGGGAAUAUUGCACAAAGGGCGGAAGCCUGAUGCAGCAACGCCGCGGGCGGGAUGACGGCCUUCGGGUUGGAAACCGCGUUCAGCAGGGGCGAAGCUUGUGGUGACGGUACCUGCAGAAGAAGCACCGGCUAACUACGUG
rnacentral:rRNA from 1 species